AUUGAACGCUGGCGGCAGGCCUAACACAUGCCAGUCGAGCGGAUGAAGGGAGCUUGCUCCUGGAUUCAGCGGCGGACGGGUGAGUAAUGCCUAGGAAUCUGCCUGGUAGUGGGGGAUAACGUCCGGAAACGGGCGCUAAUACCGCAUACGUCCUGAGGGAGAAAGUGGGGGAUCUUCGGACCUCACGCUAUCAGAUGAGCCUAGGUCGGAUUAGCUAGUUGGUGGGGUAAAGGCCUACCAAGGCGACGAUCCGUAACUGGUCUGAGAGGAUGAUCAGUCACACUGGAACGUAGACACGGUCCAGACUCCUACGGGAGGCAGCAGUGGGGAAUAUUGGACAAUGGGCGAAAGCCUGAUCCAGCCAUGCCGCGUGUGUGAAGAAGGUCUUCGGAUUGUAAAGCACUUUAAGUUGGGAGGAAGGGCAGUAAGUUAAUACCUUGCUGUUUUGACGUUACCAACAGAAUAAGCACCGGCUAACUUCGUG
rnacentral:rRNA from 1 species